GACGAACGCUGGCGGCGUGCUUAACACAUGCAAGUCGAACGGAAAGGCCCUGCUUUUGUGGGGUGCUCGAGUGGCGAACGGGUGAGUAACACGUGAGUAACCUGCCCUUGACUUUGGGAUAACUUCAGGAAACUGGGGCUAAUACCGGAUAGGAGCUCCUGCUGCAGGGUGGGGGUUGGAAAGUUUCGGCGGUUGGGGAUGGACUCGCGGCUUAUCAGCUUGUUGGUGGGGGAGUGGCUUACCAAGGCUGGGACGGGUAGCCGGCCUGAGAGGGUGACCGGCCACAUUGGGACUGAGAGACGGACCAGACUCGUACGGGAGGCAGCAGUGGGGAAUAUUGCACAAUGGGCGGAAGCCUGAUGAAGCAACGCCGCGUGCGGGAUGACGGUCUUCGGGUUGUAAACCGCUUUAGCCUGUGACGAAGCGUGAGUGACGGUAAUGGGUAAAGAAGCACCGGCUAACUACGUG
rnacentral:rRNA from 1 species